rnacentral:sRNA from 1 species
AUGUCACAAUCGCAGCCACAGCGACAUUCUAAAUCGAAGUCGGAGCAGUGGCAAUGGGAGAACGCCACCGCCGGAGCCGCUGCCGGAUUCGCCACUGUCGCCGCCAUGCACCCCCUCGACGUCGUCCGUACUAGGUUUCAAGGUACUAUCCUCUACUUUGUUUUAUUUUUUUUUAAUGUUUUUGAUUUGAGGUUAUGAAGUUGUUUGAAUCGAAUUGGUUUGGUUUUGUGUGUGUGUGUGUUUUUGCAGUUAACGAUGGACGAGUUUCAACUCUUCCAAGUUACAAGAACACGGCUCACGCUAUUUUCACCAUUGCUCGCUUGGAGGUUAUGUUUGGUUUUAUAGUUACUUUUUAGGCACUUAAUACUUUAUUUUAAUAUGGUUAUAUUCAUUGUUCAAACUUGACCGUGCUUAGGUACGUAUACAAUUUUUCCUUCCAUUUGUUCUUCAUAAGAAUCAUACAGAACCUAAGUUAUCUUGGAAAUGCAUCUUACUGUUAUUGCUAGUUGCUACCCUGUUUUGUUGAUUUCUAUUCAUAAAAUAUAUAUAUAUAUAUAUAUUACAGAUUUCUAGCUACAUAUUACUGGGUUUGCCUAGUUCACUUCCCGUGUUAGAACUAAGGUUUGGUGCUCGGCACCGUUACAACUAUGACUUAUAUAUUAUUUCCUUUCAAUUAUGAGCCUGGUGUUUUCAUUUAUGAUUUAUCAUUAGUACUUUAUUUGACUUAAAACACUUCUUUCUAUUUUAUACCAUUUUCUUGAUAGGAAUGUUAUUGCUCUGUGUUCAGGGUCUCAGAGGGCUUUAUGCAGGCUUCAAUCCCGCAGUUAUUGGGUCAACUGUUUCAUGGGGUUUAUAUUUCUUCUUGUAAGUACCAAUGUUUUGGUUGUCUGAGAUUUGAGUGUUUAGAUUUUUCUAGUCCUUUACGUGGCCAAUGCCUGUUUGAAAAAUGUAGAGUUUUAGCAGGUAGACAGUCAAAUGUAAAACUUGUUGUCACACCUUAUAUACAUUUAAUAAACUUGUAUUCACACCCUAAAAUUUUAAGUACCAAUGCUUUCACUUGUAAUUUCUGAUUUAAUUCUUUGGAUAAUUUUUUACUUUUAUUUUUAAAUUUAUUAACAAAAAAUUUUGUUUUAUUUGUAGCUAUGAUAGAGCAAAACAAAGGCAUUCUAAAAACAAGGAAGGGAAGCUUAAUCCUGGUCUUCAUCUUGCUUCUGCUGCAGAAGCUGGAGCUUUGGUGAGUUAUGCAAACUUCUAAUAUAUGAUUGGGAAGACUAACAUAGGAUAUCAAUUUUUUUUUUGUUAAACACAUUUUGAUGGCUCUUCAUCAAAAAGUGUUGUACAAACCUGUUGUCAUUACCUGCUUUACUUGUAUCUGGCACAUGAUACCCAUUUUGGCCCACGUGUCCAAUUAAUGCUUUUAUUUCCAAAUCUUUGCACUUGUUUAGCCUGGGGUGUGGCAGGAUAGACGAAUUUAUCAAUAUUGAAAUUAUGUAAUUAAUAAUUGGAGAUUAGAAAUGAAAUUUGUGGUCUGUAAACUGUGUAGAAAUUAAAGAAGUAAGUUCAGUUUAUUAGGUACACAGUAACAACCAUGAGGGGUAGCAUAAUCAGCUGGAAAUCACGCCUCAUGAAGCAGAGGUCAUUGGUUUGAAUCCCCCUCCCUGUCCUUCCAUACUCGGGGUUGAAGUGUUGGCGUUGGCUCAUUUUGAAUUGUUAUUGUUUUAUUAAUUGUUGUCACAUUAUCACUCCAUAUCCUGGUUGCUUUAGUUUCUAAGUGUUUAAUGAGAAGAUAAUACCUUAUUCCUUAUCUAUGGCAUUUUUAUGAGGUAGAUACAGGUGUUACGUUUGGUUUUCUUACUAAUUGCAGCUGCAGACACCUCUUCAUCAAACUCAACCAUAUUCUGGGCUUUAUGGUCUGCUCUGCAUCUUACAUUAAAUUGCUAAUAAUCUGCACUCUCAAAUAUCGCUUUUCCUUGUGAGUCAUAUCAACUUUGGCUCUAAGUUGUAGCAUCACAUUAAACUUAAUUAUUUUCUCUUGUGCCAUAUAAUUUCUUUUUUUCGAAGAAACAUCAAAGCUUAUACUUGUUCCAAUCCCACCCUGCACCUUAAUCAUCUCAGCUAAAGAUCAAUCAUGGUGAUGUUGAUUUUUAGAAUUUGGAAGAUAGCCUUUUUUAUCAGAUUGAUUUUAUUUAAGUUGUUUUUAGUAUAAUUUAUAAUAUAAAAGUUUCCAUCAUGAUCGCUUUGUUUAGAUGACAAGAAUUUUUUUAAAUGAAGUGCUAAUUAAGGAUAUUAACUAUAUGUUGAACUAGUUUGCACUCUUUUAGUUGAUUUUAUUAGUUUUUUUUAUUUUUUUAUUUUUUUUAUUUUGUUCUUCACUUGAAAACCAACUGAUAUGCUUAUAUCUUUUAUCAACUUUCAGAUGCCUUAAGAACCAUAAUGAGAGAGGAAGGCUGGAGUGCACUUUAUAGAGGGAUCAUUCCUGGUCUUUUUCUGGUAUUUUGUUGUCUCUUAUCUAUUGCCUUAUGCUUUUUUUAGCUUGUAUUAUUCUCUUUCAAUUUUGCCAUUGUGCUCAAGCAGAAAUGAAAUUCACAAUUUUAAUACUGCAGGGCAGAGAGAAUAAAAAAUUAUUCUAGAAUGAUGCUUAUGUAUAUAAAUUUGGAUGCAUGUGAAUAUUAAAGAACUAAACGUUGUCAGCAUUAGUAAUGCUAAGAUAAAUUUUUAUGCUUUUUAUUGCUUUAGAUUUUUCCCACUUAGAGGUGUUUGUGCUGCUUCAGCAGGUUUCUCAUGGUGCUAUUCAGUUUACUGCGAAUGAGGAACUUCGUAAGGGUAUUAUUGACCUCAAGUCUAAAGACAGAAAAAAGGAUUCUGAAAGUGAUGAUAAACUCUUGGUAAGUCACUACAAUCAAUGCUUUUUGGAAUUUGGGUCUGCAUAACUGUAUAAAUGUGCAUAUACUAGAAGUAUCAAUGUACACUUCUGCAUUGACAAAUGGGUCCCUUACUCCCUUUUGGCAAACCUGGAAAUUUCCUGUCCUGUCUUGUUCUUGAAAAUUCAAGUCCUAGUUUAAUGGAGAGAUGUCACUAACAGAAAUUUGUAUGUUGAAUCUGUGGUUCUAUUAGUGGACCGGAUAGGGAGUGUACAUGCAGGAUUGUAUAGUGGGUUUUAGUUUGUUUCUGCUGGCAUUUGAUAUACCAAUGGUCAUUUGGCCUUGAUGUGGGUGGAUACAAUCUAACAAAAUCUACCAGGGUGAGAUGCACACGGGAAUAUGCACAUGGGAAGUUAUUGCACAUGUGAAGGUAUACCAUGUAGUAGGAAUUGAAAAAGUAGGUAGAAGUACAAUUGUUGUCACUCACUAAGUCACUCCUCACCUCACCCCACUUAAGAUGAUUUUUAAACUUUUGGGACCCCACAACUAUUUUAUAAAGGAUAUAACAUAAACUAAAAAAAUUGAAAGUCUUAUGCUUUAAUAGUAUAUGUCCAAUAUUUUCUUACUUAAAAAACCAAUUAGUUUUGCCAAGUAAUAAAAAAAAAAAAAAUGAAAAAAGAAGAAGUAAAACAAAGCAUCCAAACAAUCAUUUAAGUGUAGUCAGACAUGCGACAUCACUCAAAACCCAAAGUCUCAUACCUUUAACUUUGGAUUUCAAAUAUAAAACAAGCAAACUAUAAUGACAAACAAUAUUUUUUUAGAUUAUUUAGACCAACAUUAGUUUGUUAUAACGUUUUCAAUUUUAGGAGGGUUAAAUAUAAAUUUUAUGAAUCCAAACUUAAAAAAAAUAUUUACAUAUACUAGGAAUAUUAAUAUUUUUUUAAGUAAUAUUUCAAGGGUUCAUGGUCCUCUUGGUCUAAACAUCCCUCCGUGUGUUGCAUCACAUUACUUGGGUUGAAAUUUUGUUCAAUUCAAGCCAAGCUUAAAAAGAAGAGAGAGAGAGAGAGAGAGAGAGAGAUAGAGAGAGAGAGAGAGAGAGACGCUAAGUCUAACCUAACUCAUUAACUUAUGAAAAACCAGCAUGAGACAUUCAGUUGGGGUUAGUAGGUUAAAUGCAAACUCUUGGCCCUAGUAGAGCAAAUCUAAACCGACCCUUAAUUACAUUACAUUUUUUUUUUUCUUCAAAUUAUCUAAUUUGGACGUGUACCUAUUAUCUAUUAACUAUAUAAAAAGAGCGAAUGCGCUUAACAACAGUAGUUUUGGUUUAUUCAAGCGCUGGGCCAAAACAGUGCACUUGGGGGAAACAAAGCCAAAAUUUAAACAGUGCGUUUGGUUGAGAAAAGAAAUUUUCAACACAAAGAGGCGGUGGGGGAGAGAGAAGGGAGCAAGCGAGUUGGUCAGAUUCAGCUUCUACAUUACUUGCUCAGUAUGGCACUCUUCAUGGGUAUGUUUCUUUCUCUCUUUUACUUUUUCUUAUUUUUCUCUUUCCUAAAAAAAAUUCUCAGUUUGCCAAAUCCUUAUUCUUCUUCUUUUUGUUUGUUUGUUGUUUUUUUCACCCUAAAAUCCCCUUCCUCCUCUUCCAUGAAGAGCCUUUGAAACUUUAAGGUCUAUUGAAACUUUAGAGAAUAAAAGAGUUGUUGCCUUUUUUUAUUAUUAUCAUUAUUAUUUUUGGGUUUCUAGAGAAGCUAAAGGGCAAAAAUCUUAGUUACUUAAGCUGGACAGUUUUUUUUCCCUGGGGUUUUUGUGGGUUAUAUUAACCAAAAAAUGGGUACCCAAACAUCUAUUUUGAAUAAAAUGCAUUCAAGGAUUUUAUAUUUAGGACAAAGUUUAGCUACAAAAUUGGUUGUAGCCUUAGGCUACAAACUCACUUAAUAAAAUAAAUAUUACUGUAUAUUUUGAAAAUCUAACCGUUGAAUUAUAUUUUUUUUACGUUCUUAAUGCACAUGUCAAUUUUUGUGUCAAUCGGUUAUCAUUUACUAUAUAAUCUAUAAUUUUAUAUUUUAUACAUAAUUUUAAAUUACAAAAACUUGCAAUUUAAAAAUUUAUUGAUGACAUAGCUAUUGAUUUUUAAUUUUCUUGAAAUUUUGCAAACAUAGAGGAUAUAAGAAAAAGAUGCAAUCUAAUAGUGGAUUUGUCAAAAUUUAUCUUCAAUAAAAAGAUAUUGAGUGAAUUUGUAGCCUAAGACUACAAUCGAUUUUAUAGCUAAACUUUGCCCUUAUAUGUAUUUUGAGGAUUUUAAUAUAUCUCUAGCUGAGGUUGAAACAUGCUUCUUGUGUAGUGUCCACCAAGUGUUUGUGGAAAUGUUUUGCCGUCACAGUUUGCUUAGGAAUUAGUAUUUUCAGGAUGUGUUUAUUGAGUAUUCACUGGUAGUUGUAUUUGGGGGUGUGGAAUACUAUUGUUUUUAUGCUAUAACUUUGAAAUCAAAGUACUUAUUAAUCUGAAACAAAAGAAAACAAAAACGUAUAAUCACAAAUUUGCCAAAACUGUGUGCCUUUUGUAUUCCAUGAGAUUAUGUAAGAUGCUCAAUUAGGGAGUUCAUUCAUGAUAUGUGGUAGUUUAGGUGUGAGUUGGAAAGGGCAAGUGAAAUGUACAUUUCUUUUUGAUAAGUAACUGAAAGCCAAAGUACUUUCUUAUUGAAAUACUUUACUUGCAUAAUCUUAUUUCAUUGGAAAGAAAGCCAUGGCAUUGUUGAAAUUUUUUCUUCUUUUGGUGGAAAUUGUUCACAUGGAGAUUUAUGUUCUGGUUUUUUAACAAUUGCAAUAUAUGUAGUCUCAAACAAUGUUAUUUAUACUAAUACAUUGUUUUUUAGGGGAUAGUGGGUGACAGCAACAAAUUAUUUCAUAUAGAAAUAUAAGGGAUUAAUUAAGACUUAGACUGAUAAAAGAGGGAUUGUUUGUGGGUUUUUUAAAGAUUGAUAAAUGGGGGACUUAAGGAUUUUUCUCACUCAACACAGUAGAGGAUAAAAGGGGAUGUUUGUUGUUCUUGGUGUUUAUUUUUUCUUGGUAAGAAUAAUCUUUUUUUAUUUUUUUCUUCAUAAUCUGAUGAUGGGUAUCUUGCCAUUAUCUAAAUACUUGAUAUCAUGCACUCUAUAGUAUGUAUUCAUUCUUUAUGUUUGAUGCACCGGUAUUGAUCUUGGUUAUCCUGGAAUUCUGCCUGAACUUUGUAGCUCCCAAAUCAUUUACCUAUAAAUUACACAAUGAGACAGAGUUGCAUGGUUAGUGUUUUUUUUAAUGUUACGAUUAGAGAUAUAUUGAAAUUGAGAUUCAUAUCAAGGGCAAUCAUUUAUUAAGUAUUUCAACUACAUUGGAUUAGUAAUUAGGAUUAUUAUAGCACACCUUUGUGUGUGUGUGUGUGUGUGUGUGUGGGACCGUUAGAGAAAACCAUAUUUGAUUGAUGCUCCUAACAAAUUGUGUACAAAAAAAAUGAUUGUAAUCACCAAAGGUUAGAAUUUUUACCCAAGAAUCUCCUGAUGUCCCCAGGCUUCUGAAUUUUUGUAAUUAAUGACAGAGGCUGAAAUGUUUCUUAACUAAAAUAAGAAUGACUGAUUUUUUUCCUUUGUUGUUAAAUGGUAUAUGCACAUCCUUAUGCCUUUGUUCUUUGCAAUUUUUCUCAUAAAAUCUGCAUGGUGUGUAAUUUAUUAUAGGGGAAAGAAUCUUCCAUUAAAGAACCCAGAAAAAUAGGAUUAAAGGAUGGAGGAAAAACUAAUAGACAUGACAUGGUAGUUCAAUUUUCUUUCUUGGUUUUUUUGUUAGAGAGAAUAGUUACAAAGAAGAUAUUCUACAACAACAAUCCGGAGAUGAGGAUGUUUUCUUUUGCACAUGGUGCCAUGCUGAGUUUCAAGACUUUUCUUGGAAAGAUUUAUCUUGAUGUGAAUAAGGAAAUGGCAGAAGUUUCAUUUCAGUUGCAUGCAGCAUGA